rnacentral:lncRNA from 1 species
GAGGGGGCCGCGACCCGCGCCGGGGUGAGCGGCCGGGGGGCCGGGGUGGGUCUGCAGCCCCUCGCUGCUCCCCGAGGCUCCUCGGCUUCCCGCCGGGCCGGGCACCGGCGCCUGGGGGUGCGGGCUCCGGUCCCCGCACACGGGCACGCUCUGGAUGUGUCCGGUUGGCUGUCUGGCGGCUGUCUAGCACGCUGGUGCUGGCAGCUUGGCCCCCGCUGGGAAAAGGAGCAAGGUAAAAAUUUCCUGUGCUGUGUUCGGGUGCUUUUCUGACCAGCUCGCUUCAAGUAUGCUGCCCUGCGUAUUUGAAAAGGGAAAAGUGAGUAUGCUCUAGAGCUGAUCAGAAAAUAUGAAUAUAAGCUCGUUCUUCUCUUCUGACCUCGUGUCUUGUUACGGAAACACUUGGUGCCAUUUGGACAUCUCGACAUUUCAGGCAUCUGCUGUGGGAGCUACUGCAAAAAAGAAACCCAAAACACAGCUGUCCUCAGAGUUGAGGGAUCUGUCUGUGGGCUAUUCUUGCACCUCUCUUUAAACCUACUGACUCUCAUACAAGACAGCGGAUUUUUCUUACUUUAUUUCAGCCAGCAAGCCAAAAAGCAAUGACUAACUGCCUUGGUAGCUAAAGAAACAGGUAGUCUUAAUGCUAAAACCUGUGAGUAGGCAAUUGUUUCCUUGCUUUUCUCUGUUCUUUCUUGUGGUAUUUUGUUCUGUCAUGUGAUUUCUGCCAUCCAGAUAGAUACAUCCUUGGAGCCGCUGGAGAAGCCUUCCAGCAGUUGCCCUGGAAGGGAAAGCAGGUGUCCCCAGCCAGGUGAAUAGCCUAGACUCCACAUGCCUGUUCAGAAAGUGGCCUCCUCCUGCCUUGUGCUGCCUGAGAGGGAAUGGAGUAAGAGCUUUUCUCCCAGCGGCCUGUUUGGAAGGUGAGGGGGGACGUGUCUGAGUCCCAUUGCUCUGCAGACACAAAUCUGAAGCCUUCUGCUACGUUGCGGUACAGGUACCCGGCCAUAGGGGUG